AGACAUCACAGGAACAGAGGAUGACAUACCAGGAUACUUAUUUUUGGCUAAAUGUCUGUCCACACUUAAACCCUAGGCUGCCUAACUUUUACAGUAAGAGUUUUCACAAAUUGUUCUGGCUGAUUCUGCACAGACGAGUCAUGGUUGCAAUAAGUCUUCAUUAGAGUCUGAGUCAGAUAGAGAAGAAAAAGAAAAGAAAAUGACUCCAAGAAGAUGCCACCUGUGAGUCAGAGAACAAAGAGGAGUGCUAGCCCACCCUCACUUUCUCGAUGCCUGUGCUUCAGCUUGGACAAAGUCAUGAUUUUAUAAGCCAUGAUUUCUAUAAAGGAAUACACAUCACAACAAUGAGGUGUACUGUGUAAAAAAAAGUGAUUAUCCCUCCCUGCUUCCAGCUUGCGGUCGAAAGAAGGCUCCAAUAUUAUUUACUGUGAGGAGCGGAGCACGAAUAUUUCGUAAAUGCGAAUAUUCAAAUAUAUCGGCACUUCCAGAGGACACUGAUCCCUCCCUUCUAUAAGGUGAAAGAUAUAAUCAUGCAUGCGCACUAUGCAAAUUUCAUUAAAAUUUGAAAAAAAAACGAACAUAGUGAAUGUGCAAAUUUUGUGAACAUAGGACGAAUAUUCGUCCAUAUAUUCGCAAAAUAUUGCAAAUUCCAAUAUGGCCCCUGCCGCUCAUCACUACGUAACACAUUUCCACUCAGCAAAUCCUGCAAGAACUGACUAAAGAGUUUCAGGACUACUAUGGAUUUUUACCAUUUUGGUGCAUUGUGAAUAAAAAAUCUGGACUGCAUGCAUGUGAGCCAGCACUCUUUUCACUUAUGGAAUUGGAUCCGGCUUGCUUAAGCCAUCUAUGCUCUGAGGGGAGUGAAUUUUUCCAGGUGCGUUGAAGUUCAUUUUAUCUGGUUUGCACAACAUCUUUAGCUUUGCAUAUGCAGAUUAACAACAAACCUGUCUUCCAUUUAUUAUAUAAAAGAUUUUGUUAAUUUCAAUUUUAUUAAUAAAAACUGGGAUUAAUGUCAGAACUGUUGUACAAUCACACAGC